AGAAGAAGGGUAGGAUCGUAAAUUUACCUUAUACUUAACCAUGGUUAAGUACUUUAACCGUGGUUAAUGAAAAUUUUCUAACAGUCCUUAACGGCAGGGACAUAUCUGCAUAACUUUAGACUUUUGCAGGGAUAACUUAUGGAGUUUCCGUUUUGCAGGGAUAUUUCCGCAAUUGACUAUGUUUGCAAGGACCUGUAUGCAUUUAACCCUUUAAAGUAUAUCAAGUUAGUAUCAUAUGGUUUUGCACUUUUUUACUUUAGUACCCUGUGGUUUAAAGUGUAUUAAAUUAGUAUCCUAUGGUUUCGCACUUUCUUAUUUUAGUACCCUGUGGUUUCGCACUUUCUCACUUUAGUACCCUAUGGUUUAAAAAUCACAGGGUACUAACUUGAUACAAAAAUAAAACUACAGAGUACUAACUUGAUACAAAAAUAAAGCACAGAGUACUAACUUGAUACACUUUAAACCAUAGGGUACUAAAGUGAGAAAGUGCGAAACCACAGGGUACUAACUUGAUACACUUUAAGCCACAGGAAUAGUAAAUGAAAAAGUACAAAAUUACAGGGGGUUUUUUGAAGUUUUCCCUUAAAAAAAAACAAUAUUAAUGAGUAUGAGUUUUCAUAUCAGUGUCUGCAGAAGAGGGAAAGGCCCAUGGACAACAUUUAUUGAGCAGUUUAAUGGCACAUGCAAAAAGCCCAUCUCUAACUUCAAUUGAGAUCUCCCUUUGCAUGAUGUUGCGUCACGUGUAGUGAGACAGUGCGAUGAAAUAUACUCUAUUUAUUUUCGUACGUGCUCGCACAGAAAAACAUUUUUUCACCUGCAACCUACAUCAUAUUGGAGCCAUUUAGAUUUUUCUUUUCGGAGGUUAAAUUACAGAAAGCUCUCUUAUAAAUAUUCGUUUUUUCACUUUUCUUCCUAAUUUUUAAAAAUCUAUAUUCUAUCCACUCAAUAUUUCAAGUUAUUAUAUUUAACCUCCCUUGUCAGAAACUCAGGAUUUCAUUAUCAUUCCGUCCAUGUUUUAUAAUUUAUACUGAAAAUACAUUUCAAAAUAAUAAAAACAUAUUAAAAAAAUUUAUUUUUUUAUAAAAAAAGGAUAAUUUGAUCAUUUUCGCCUCUCCAUUAAUAACGUACUUUUCUGAAAAUAUUUCUAAAAUUUUAAAAAACAAAUAUAAAUUUUAAAAAAUUAGAGACAAAAAGUGAAAGAAAAUAGAUAUUUACUGAAACAUUUUUUAUAAUUUAGCCCCCCCCUUUUUUUUUUAAAGUGCUACUAACUGUUUUAAUGCUUGCAAAUAAUUCUUUUCGAAAACUAUUCAUUCAGAAAACUUCUGAUCGUUGUACAGUUGGCGUGAUAGGAUUUGGGGGAGUUUCAGGAACAUUUAUGGAAUCAAUAUUAAGAAUUGGGGUGUACAGUACAUGAGUAAAUAGUCACAAGGCACCUCAAAAUAUGACUUCAAAACUAAAUUCAUUCAAAUUGGAUUUGAAACGGGACUUAAACGAGACUAAACCAACUAAAAUUUCAAUAGUUUGAUUAGUUAUUAGGUUAUCUUAAAGUUGACCGACAUAGCAUAAAUUAUUAUUCUUAACAUCCAACAUUUCACAUUGGUUGAAACAAAAACCUAUCUACCUCCCAACACACUCUGGAAUAAAAGAUUUAGGGAUAACUUCAAACACACCCCCCCCCCCCAUGUAGUUUAAAGCAUAUCAAUUUACCCCCGUGGUUUCAUUUUUCUUUUUUUAUUAUCAAUUUUAUUAUCAAUUUUUCUUAAAUCAAUGACAAAAUUAAAAUUAAAAAAUACUAAAGUAAAAAUUCAAUAAAACUAUAUAGAUAUCUGAAGUUUUUUAUAUAUAAUUUAACGAAAUAUUAAAAAAAAAGCUACCGAAAAAAUAAAAACAAAACCACAGGAGAGCAAAUUAAUACACUUUAAACCACAGGGUACUAAAAUGAGAAAGUGCAAAACCACAUGGGUUUUUUUUUGAAGUAUUCCCAAAGAUUUAAACAACAGGCAGCAGAAGCAGAACCAUGGCCAAAGGGGUACACUUUGAAGAUGAUACAAACGAUUCCUUACCAUUUGCCCACCCUUUUAUAAGGGAAAAAAGAGAGGGCAAUAGACAGAUUUACCGAUCAAAACAAUGCGCAAAACAUUCCACAGAAAUCAGAUAUGUUCAUAUACCAGGAAACCGAGUUAAAACAACUGAGUUCGCACUGAUUACCGACGAUCAAAGAUAAGAUCCAAGGUUUAAAAGUUUAACACAUGAAGAUCGAUAUGUGAAAAAGAGUGUCAAACAGUUCCGUCGAUGGAAGCAGCGGCCCAACAAUACAACUCUUAGCAGUUAGGAGUUUUCUACAGGAAUAUGUCUCAAAUACAAGUUGCUACUAAUUAGCUUCUAGUUCUCUUAGAGAAGCUACAUGAUAACAGAGAAAGUAAGUACUUACCAAGGGAACGGCAUUCUCUAUAUUACCUUGAAACCCCAUUUAGGCACCCUGAAAAUUUGCGCAAUUUGUUUUAGGUACAAAUGUAAACAACAAAAAAAGGGGGAAAAACAGAAACUUCUAUCCAUCAACACCGCAACCAUCUACGUUGCACUACCAGCAUACCUACCUCCAAAUGCCACCCCCUUUUUUCCAAUUUGGAUAGCUAAAUCUGAAUAGGUAACAACACCAAUCUAUACAAAUUCCUACAAUUUAGAUUGCUAAAGAUGGGUAGGAGUAAACUCACCAACUGAUCCCAAAACCAAAGCUAAUACUGGCCAUACGUUUUGCCGUAAUCUUCAUGCCUCUGAUUUUGGUAGUCACUGUAUGCAUCAUGAGGCCUCGGAGCGGAAUAGUUCUCAUUGGGAUAUGGAUAUCUAUUCCUCGUAUCCAUGGAUAAUCCAGUAUUUCCUACAUAUUGCAUGUUCCUCUGAUCAUAAUCUGGGUAUGCAGGCCGAGUAUAAGCAGUUUGGAGGGCCUGAUGCUGCUGCCGUUGUAUUGUAUCGAGACGAAGAAACUCUUCCCACUGCUUCGAAUGCAUGCUCCUUAUGACUCCUAGCUUCUUCAUGUAGUUCUCUUUAAGCUCUCUAAUGAACUGCAUUCACAGGGUAAAAGAAAAGAGAAUUUACAUACAAAAUGAUGGGAGCGUGACCAAUAGAUUAUUGUACAGUUUUCGGCACACAUACCUCUGCAAAAAUGUGAAUUUGUCCAAAUAAUCAUGCAAAGUUGCUAUUUGCAAGUGUGCCCUCAAAAACCUUACUUAUUUGCAAGCCCCUACCAAGAUAUCUAUGCUUACACAGAAGAAUUUGCAUAGAAACCCUUUGCAGAGAAUGCCCACCAGAAAGUACAGUUUCAAGGGUACACACACAAAUACCAAAUUUGCAGGGGUACUUGUGCAAUGUCACCUAUGUAUGGGUACAUAUGCAAAGAAUCCUAGAAUGUUAUUCAAAGGACCCAGAAGUAAAUCUUUACAUUAGAAAAUAGCCUAUUAUGAAACAGCUAUUGAUGAGGAGCUUUAUUGUAUGCAAACUGGUUGCGUUGAAACCUAAUGAAAUGCAACUAGAAAAUCAAGAGUGCUUCUUUUUACAUUUCUUCCUUUAUUGAGAGAGAGAGAGAGAGAGAGAGAGAGAGAGAGAGAGGAAAAACAAAUAUUAAAUGGUAACUCUGCAGAAACAAAUAAUUAGAAAAAAAGUAUCUAACCGCACAUAAAAGCAAGCAAACUCUGAACCAUCAGUGCUUGUGUUAGUGGCUAAUGUGCUAUUGCAAAAGCUAUCAAGCUGACACAAAGUAAAGUGCCUUACCUUUUAUUUAUCAGAAUCGGAGAACAAUGUGAAGAAAAUCAGAGAAGAAAACACCAUUCUAAAAAUAAACACGUAGAAUCUAUCAGAAGCCCAUUUUUCAUACAAGGGAUCAGUUAAUUAAAAGUAAUGGACAAGUCAUUAACAAUAAAAUAUAAGAAAUGAAGCCUUACAAUUAUUCAACUCAAUAUCAACCAAUAUGUAGGUUUUAUUUCUGAAUCUGGGUUUCUAUGUGCUAGUUUAGCCAGACGAUUGCAUACUGAACAAAUUGGCAACAAAUUGGAAAAAUUUAGCAGGUUAGCACAAGAGUAUAACUUAUUUAACUCUAACCGUCUAGAAAUAUAGACUAUAUAAUUAUGUAAACAAAAAAAAAGGUGUCCAAAUCACCAGGAUCUGGUACAAGCAUACAGCAUGGUGGAUGCCACCCAGAAUGAACUCAUACCUAUGGUUAAAUUUUUAGUAGGUGUUUCCUUUGUUGAAAAACAAGGAGUCCCUGUUGCUGCACUGGGUGAAAUACCAUAACUACAUAAUGAAUAGAUUUGACCUGCUUACUUCAUACAAGAAAAGGUAUACUUAGCCCCGUGCCAACCUGAUGACAAAUAUAGGAAAAUGUCUCCCCAAAAUGCAAAAUAGUUUAUUCUUCUUGAAAUCUAAGGGCAUCGCCGACCAUACAAUUUCUAAAUUUAUUUACUCAUCUCAAUAGUGUAUAAUAAAACAUGCACAUAUUCAUUUCAGGCCUCACGAAAUCAACCAUAUAAACAUAGACCAGAAACUUUCCCAGGGUUAAAAGCAACACUUAUCACUUACCUUUCUUUUCACCGCUUACCUUUCUUUCUAAGUCAGAUGUGUUAAUGUAAUUCUUCAGAAUACCACAUGUACUUUAAAAAAAAAAAGGAGCAUGUAAACUACAUUUUUUGCGAUAAGCACGUAGAUUGAGUAGACUCUCUGUGAAUGUAAUGCAAAAGAUAAAUAUACUACAGAAAACAAGAUAGAGAAAUGAUGACUGGAAAAAUUUUCCUGAUCAUAACAGGAAAUUUUAGGGAAAACAAAAAUCAAAGUUUCGAAAUUUCUAUCAGUAAGCCCUACCUCGCGAUGCUUGUUGUUUUCUUCAUCCUCUUCUUGGUCCCUGAUUCUUGCCAGUUCUAAUGCUUCGCUCUUAAAUUCCAUUUCCAAUUCUUCCAAGCUCCGUUGAUAAGUAGGCAAGUCAAACUUACGCUCAGAACGAGACUCCGCCCUAUGCCUCUCGGUAUCCAAGCUAUUAGACCUAUGUGACCUGGAAUUACGAUCGUACCCAUCAUACUGUCUAUAUGCAUCACCGCCAAAAGAAGAGCGUGGUGGAGAUUUCGGUCGAGCUGAACGGCCUUUUGCUCCAUCAUUAGCAUAAGCUUCGCGAAACGAAUAAUGUGUAAGCGAUAUUACACUUUAUUAUAUAUUCAAAGGAGGAACAAUGCCAGAUGCUAUAAUAUUUGCUAGUUGAUCCAAUCCAUAAAAGUCUGAAAUACUUUGAGCAAACAAAUUUGAAUGGAAUAUAUUCUGUCUGACCCGGAACCAAGCAGAAAUCACUUGAUAUUCCGACACAUAAAGCUUGAACUUACCUCUUGCUACAAAAGAGGGACAGAACGAUAGGUAAUUUGGUAUAUCAUAAGACAAAGAAAAUUGGACUACCCGAACUUGCUAAGUUCCAACUACAGAAAUUUCUCUUAAAAAGCUGCUUCUAUCUCUCGUAAUGUCCCUACCUUGUGGAGAAUCCCUUGCAUAUUUGUGCAUAUUUUCACGUACACGAUCUUCAACACGCCUUUCCUGAUUAAAGCCUCUGUUUUGGACAAGUGACGUAUCUCUCGGACUAGAAUAAGAAGACCUUUGAGAUUCAGAACGCCUAAAGUGAGAACCCCUAGGGCUUCCAUCAGGGGAUCUCGACCGUGUCCUAUUUGAACUGUUGGGACUUCUGCUUUUACGUUUAUCCUCUUGAAUUAUUUUAUGCACCGCAUCUACACCUUUAGCUAGUAUUAACCUAUCCUUCCCACUAACUAUCAAAAAUUUCUCAUCCAUUUUAAUUUUGCAUCCAAUGUCCUUUUCAAUCUGACUUAUCACCUUUGGAGAGAAAAGUGCUCUCACUUGUUUAUCUCUAGCUGGAACUCUCUCAAAAAAGUCUGCAUUUUUACGAUUUGCCCCGAGAGUAGAUGGACAACCCUGUAAAAAAGGCAGGAAAAAAAAAUGAUAACAUAACCAUAUAAGAACACUGAUAAAACAUGCAAACAUGCAGCAUAUAGACGUAAGGCAGGAAUAAGUUUUCUUUUUUCUUCCCCCUGAAUCAUUCAGUGGAAUCCUAAAGUAUUUUGCAGAGACCCCUUAACUGCAGUCCAUUUUGAAAUAGGCCCCUUGAGCACUUUUAUUUUGAUUGACAUCCCCUCAACAUUUAAUUAUUUUGAUUCGACAUAUUUUACUAAAUUGAGUUGGAAAAUUAAUUAAAAAAACAGAUUCUUUAGCUAUCAGUCAUUGACUGUUAUUGAACAGAAGUUAACUUAUGAGCUGUUCAGAAUAGUUAACUGUAAUAGAUGCACCGUUAAAUUUAAAAAUAUUCCAAAUUUGAUUGUCAAAAUAACUUGAACCAAAAGUUGAGUGCAAGGCAAUCAAAAGAAAAGUAGUAGAAGAAUCAAUAAUUACGGAGGUUCCUCCACAUUUUUUUACCAAUAGUAAAUUAAUGGCUCAUACAAAUAUAAAUUAACUUAAUUCACAAUCAAUGUUUACUUAAUCCCAGAUUUUCCUGAUGAAACAACUCAAACCAAAACAAGCAAAAACUUGAGAAGGUGUCAAUCAAAAAAAUAUAUAUAUAGAGAGAGAGAGAGAGCGGCUACAAUGCUAUCAAUAGCACCAAGCGCUUGGUGCUACUAAGUUUUCCACCGUUAGAUUUACACCUUUGACCAUUUCUACCCGUUAGAUCAUACUAUUCAACUAACCACCCAUUCAACCCUAGGGGAUCACUAUCAUCUUAACCGCACAUCGCUUGGAGCUACUAAGUUUUCCGCCGUUAGAUUUACACCUUUGACCAUUUCUACCCGUUAGAUCAUACUAUUCAACUAACCACCCAUUCAACCCUAGGGGACCACUAUCAUCUUAACCGCACAUCGCUUCAUCCAAGGGCCGAAAACGUAAUACCACCAAUGACUUGGUGCUAUUGAUAGUAUUCUAGCCUAGUUCUCUCUCUCUCUCUCUCUCUCUCUCUCUCUCUAUAUAUAUAUAUAUAUAUAUAUAUGUGUGUGUGUGUGUGUGUGUAUGUACAUGUAGGUGCUACUGAUAGUAUUCUAGCCUAGUUCUAUAUAUAUAUAUAUAUAUAUGUGUGUGUGUGUGUGUGUGUGUUAUGUGUAUAUGUCUGUGUAUAUGUAUAUGUAUAUGUAUAUACGUGUGUGUGUAUAAAGUUGAAGGUCUAUACAAAAUGACCAAUAGCUAAGAGGCACUACAAACAUUUUUACCAAAUGUUCAUUUAAUGAAAAAUCUAUCUUUAAGAUUACUGAGGAAGAAAACUUACAUACCUGUGUAAAAUGACCCAAUUCACCACAUAUUUUGCAGAUCAUUUCCUCUUCCUUUCUUUUCUUCCAAUUCCUUUCAGUAGCCUUCGCCUUUGCCUCCCACACCUUAGCCUCUCUACUAGUAAAAUCAGUCGGAACAGCAUUAGGAUCCCGAGGCUCAUCUUCUUCAUCAGAUUGGCCACCAGGAAAAGCUCUCUUGUUAUCAUUUCCUUUUGGCACUGAAUUGUUGGCAGCGUUCGAUCCAACAGGUCCAGUGUAUGCUUUCCCAUAAACUUCAUUAAAGAGUUCAUCAUCUAUAUCGGGACUCGGAUCUCUCGCCAUUCAUAAAACAGAAUACAAGCCGAGGCCUUGAUCAGGUGCAAGAAUACAAACCCUGUUAAGUCCAGAAAGAUGAGCACCACUCAUGUGAUAUGUUUCUCAUUUUCAGCUCAGAAAAGGAGCGGAUAAACCAAUUACUAAAUUUAUGAAUCCCAUAUCUAUAUCUAUAUUUUACUGUUUUUAUAAGAAAAUAUAUUUAGUCGUUUCUUCUUCAACCUGUUUUGCUAGUUCUCGUAAUUCUACUAAUCUACUCUUACACAACGUAUUUAAUUCCAUUACCAUCUUCCACAUGCUCGUCUUCGGUAAUCAAAUUUCCUUACACUAAAUAAGCCUUCUUUGAACCUACCGCAUAACCUAUAAUAUGCUCUUUACAGUUAAAUAAAAAAAAUAAAAGGGUAAAAUGUAUAUAGCACCCAUACUACCAGAUAUCCCUGAAAAUUCCAUCCUAGGCGCAACCAAAGAAAAAAGUGACAACAACCAACAUUUACCUAUGUAAUGAUCUUCUAAACCUUGUUACAAGUACAUUUCCAGAAAAUCGACAAAAACAUUGGUUGUGGAUUGAUUACACAUAAAAGAGGCACAAAAAAAAGAUUUCGGGGUGGUGAAAGUUCUCCAAGUGUUUGGUUCCACAUAAAACACUUUUCAGUGGAAAACAGUUACGUAUUUUACACAAAACAAUUUGUUUCCAUUUUCCAGAUAUUUAUAAAUGGAGAAUGAAGAAUGAAAACUAUAAACUCCUCUUUGUCCCUCAUUAUCUUCAUUUUCUUUUUCCUGCAAACCAAACAUUUUAUGACAAGAAAACUAUUCACUUCAUGCCGAACCAAACUCCAACAAAGGUAAAUUUUCUUUUCCACGGGAAACACAUUUCCCCUGAAACCAAACACAACAAACGACACUUCCCUAUGAAACGAUCUUCUUAAUCUUGUUGUUUCAAGCAACACUGAGACAAAUGAAGCCAUUUUACAGAAGAUUCAACAAAAUUGAUCAAUAAGCACGAAGAAAAGAAAAAACAAGAGAAAAGAACUAACAAGAUCUAGUAAAUUACACCAAAAUAAAAGAGAGUAGAGAUUGGAUAAAGAAGAGCAAGGGAAUUACCUAUACUACAUCCAGUGAGAGAUCUAUGAAUAGCUUCGAGAGAAUCGGAGAGGAGAAGAGCGCGAGACGACGACGACGACGACGACGACGAGGAGGAGGAGGAGGAGGAAGCGAACGAAGAGAGCGAGGAGAGGAAAUGGAGAGGGUUAGGGUUAGGGUUAGGGUUUGUUGCGGUUGGGGGUUGGUUGAGUUGGGCCAGCCCAUUUACGAUUGCACGUUGUUUGGAUGAGGCCGAGUUCGAUUUUUACGGAGGCGGUAAAAGUAAUCCGAACCCAUUGGGUUAUCCCGAUUCGACCCGAUUUGGAUCGGGUUAUGGUUAUACUCAUUUUGGUAGGCCGAAAAGAACGGGUUUGGCCUUUUAAGGUUCUUAAGGUGUCCUUUAUCUAACCCGAUUUGGAUCGGGUUAUGUUUGUUUUCGUACAUAAAAUUAUAUUCCGCGAAUUACAAUAAAUCAGUUACAAUAUAUUUUAUGCAGUCCCACUGAAAAAUAAAGAAGCGUAUUAUUAUAUGCUUUCGUCCCAACACCUUUCUCGGCCUACUAGCUUUAGGCGAGCGUCAGUACCAAACGGGCUCUUGGUUUACAAUUAUUAUUUGCGGUAAAACUUUGUUCGAACGUGCGACCUUGCUAGCCGACAAAUUUACCAAUUAUAGUAUUAUCAUAUAACUCCUUACAAUGUAAAUAUAAACUUGGUUUAACAUGACUGUACAGAGCACUCGGUAAAUAUUCUGUAUGUUGGAUUAUGACACCGUUGCGAUAUCGUAUCUGUGCCUAUUCCAUAAAUAUUCUUACGAAUUUAUUUAUCUACAUACAUUUUUACUCUUUGAAAAUGUAGUUUCACAUAAAAUUUACAUGGAAUAACAUAAAAAUGAGUACCUUGCAAUAACAUGUGAGAGAAAAUUUUCUCUUCCAUAGUUUUUGGCACAUGCACCAUGCAUUCUCUCCUCUUAGAUUUCACUCAGCACAUCUCUUAACAUGCCAAAGGAGUGGAAAUCCAACAUUCUAAUUGUAUGCAACUGUUGUGAAUACUUUUCUUUUAUUAUUAUUACUAUUAUUAGGUUAAAUUACAAAAAAAAAAAAAUCCUUCCGUAAAUAUAUAUUUUUUCUUCCUGACUUUUAAAAAUCAACAUUUGGUCCCUUUAAAAUUUAUAAAAUAUUUUUAGGGCUAUACAGCAUUAAUGAGAGGGCAAAAUGAUCAAAUUAUCUUUACUUUUUCUGUAAAAAAAUAAUUUUUAAAUAUAUUUCUGUCGUUUCAAAUGGUAUUUUAGAUAUAAAUUAUAAGAAAAUAAACGAAAUAGUAAGAGAAUAAAAUAUAAGUUUUUGAAACUUAGGGACGAAAAGUGAAAAAAUGAGUAUUUAUAAAAAAAAAUUUAUGUGAUUUAACGUUAUUAUUAUUAUUGAACUUCUCGGUACGCUCUUGAAUUCCAGAAAUCUCUCCAUAUACAAAUACCAAUUUUUUUUUACCCACAAACUCAAAGGCUCUGUAGCCCCAUUUUCUCAAAUGCCCAAGGGAGAAAUCAAAUUCCAACAUCUUAGCAAGCAAUAUACUUUUGGUUUGCGAAAUGCUCCACUCAAAUAGAAAAAUCAUUACUUAGGCUCUGUUUGUCGUGUUCUUCUUGACGAGAUUAGUUAUAAUCAUCUGUUCUCCAUUUCAUCUCUAUUAUCAAGCGAAUUAUUACCUCCUCAAGAUUAACAAAUUAUUUUGUAAAAGCUGUGAUCAUAUAUGGAAAGUGACUGGGAGUCAAGAGGGCAAAUCAAUGCGCAGUCCUCGGCUGAUGUGGUGCACCAGGUCCAAACAAAGAAUUUCUUACCAAGUGGAGUAGCUGUUCCAAAAUUGUGGGCCAACAGUUUUCUCCUUUCCCAGCCCACAAUGAGCCCUUGAUAACAUAUAUAAAUAUAUAAUAGGGAAAACUUAAAAAAAACCCCUUGUAGUUUCACUUUUUCUCACUUUAGUCCCCUGGGAUUUAAAGUGUAUUAAGUUAGUACCAUGUGGUUUCGCACUUUCUCACUUUAGUACUCUGUGGUUUAAUAUUUCAUUCGGAGAAAAAUAAAACCACAGGGUACUAACUUGAUACAAAAAUAAAACCACAUGGUACUAACUUGAUACAAAAAUAAAACCACGGAGUACUAACUUGAUACACUUUAAACCGCAGGGUACUCAAGUGAGAAAGUGCAAAACCACAGGUACUAACUUGAUACACUUUAAACCACAGGGUACUAAAAUAAAAAAAAUGUGAAACCAUAAGGGGAGUUUUUGAAGUUUUCCCUGUAUAAUAAGGUGGGGCCUUUGUUAUCCAUCGUAAGCCCAUUUUAUUUUCCAAGCCAACUUUAUUUUGUAUAAACUAGAAGAGAAGCAAAGUGAAGAUAUAUAAUAUAGUAGUUCUAGGAUCAUUUAACCAAUGCAUAAUACUCCACAUUAACACAAAUUCUGAUGCAAAAUUAACUAAUUAACAAGAUACAUUCUCUUGACCGAAAAAACAAAAGACAAAAAUAAAAAUCGUUCAUUCUCCUGAUAACAUCUUAAGAGCAAUUUGCAUCCCUUGCACUUGCACCUUCAAACAUGCAAUGUAAUCCGCAGCCUCUCGAAAGAGCCCGCGGAGACCCACCGACGACUCACCGCCACUCGGCACGAGCCUCCGGAGUGCCCCGACAUGUCGGUCGAGGGCCCGAACUGGCCUUCUCGAGCUUACCAGAAGCUUUCUCCUCUUGACUUUGAGAAGCCUCCUCCUCCUCUCUAGAGCGAGUCGCACCGAGGCUCGAGCCCAACGUGACCUCAAGCUAAGAUGGUUUGACUUGUCGAGCUGUUCGGAGAAGCCGAUCGAGUCGAGAGCCAAGAGGAGGGAUUGUGUAGAGGAAGGCAUGGUUUGAUGUUGCUUUUGUGGAACCUUGCUUUCCUUUUUAGAGAGGACUUUUAGUCCUA
rnacentral:lncRNA from 1 species